UUGGGCUACGGCGUUUCCUGUUUUGACAGGAGUGCUUGUAAAGACCAAUAUCAGUGGAACAGUUUGGCACUCAAAGCUUGUUAGUGCUGUGAGAAUCUGCUAAGAACAGGACCGAGAGCAGGAUGUUCUUUGUGGGUUGCGGGGGGAGUAUAUUUUUGAGUGAUGCCAGUCAUGUGUCCUUCCCUUAAGUUGUGUUGUGCAAGGAUACUUGUGUUUUUGCACGUAGGCUCUAUGCUUGACUGAGGACACCUAGGCAAGAGUUGUCUGAAGACAACUGGGUUGACCAGAAUAUUGGCUAACUAGUGAUGCUUGGUUAUAUGAUUAUUUAUAUAACAUUGCUCACCUGAUAUUGUUCCGAAUUUAAAACUGGCCAAUGGGGAGAACUGCUGGAUGCAAAAGUUUCUACGACAUUAAUUACAAACAACUGUGCGCAGGGAGACCAAAACGACACUGCUCCAAGGAUCGUAAUAAUCUUCUUCAUCCAGAGCAAUCUACACACAUUACCCAUAAAUGACAACGUGAACCCUGUUUAGAACUCUGAGACAAGAUUGUGUUGAGGCACAGAUCUGGGGAAGGGUACCAAAAUAAUUCUGCAGCAUUGAAGGUCACCAAGAACACAAGUUUGGAACCAAGACUCUUCUUAGAGCUUGCCACCAACCCAAACUGAGCAAUCGGGUGAGAAGGGCCUUGGUCAGGAAGGUGACCAAGAACCCGAUUGACCUGGACAGGCUUACUCGCUGCCAAAUGUGCUUCUACAAAGUAUGAACCUGGGGUGUAAGUGCUUAUGUAAAUCAUAUCUGUAUUUAAAUGUACAACAGUCUAAAACAUGUUCACUUUGUGUGCACCAUACCCUGUAAUGACAGUGAAAACAUUUUAUACAUUUAUUGAAAAUGAAAUGUGGGAGCUAUUUAAUCCAUUUUGACUUCAGGCUAUAACUUAAUGUGGAAUGCCAAGGCACUGUACAUGUCAAGUGCGUCUAUAAAUAUUGGUUCUAC